UUGGAACUAGGGUUAGGGUUAGGGUUAGGGUUGGAGCUAGGGUUAGGGUUAGGGUUAGGGUUGGAGCUAGGGUUAGGGUUAGGGUUGGAGCUAGGGUUAGGGUUAGGGUUAGGGUUGGAACUAGGGUUAAAGUUAGGGUUAGGGUUGGAGCUAGGGUAAGGUUUAGGGUUAGGGUUGGAGCUAGGGUUGGGGAUAGGGUUGGAGCUAGGGUUAGGGUUAGGGUUGGAGCUAGGGUUAGGGUUAGGGUUAGGGUUGGAGCUAGGGUUAGGGUUAGGGUUAGGGUUGGACCUAGGGUUCGAGUUAGGGUUAGGGUUGGAGCUAGGGUUAGGGUUAGGGUUAGGGUUGGAGCUAGGGUUAGGGUUAGGGUUAGGGUUGGAGCUAGGGUUAGGGUUAGGGUUAGGGUUGGAGCUAGGGUUAGGGUUAGGGUUAGGGUUUGAGCUAGGGUUACGGUCAGGGUUAGAGUUAGGGUUGGAGCUAGGGUUAGGGUUGGAGCUAGGGUUAGAGUUAGGGUUGGAGCUAGG